rnacentral:misc_RNA from 1 species
ACACCUCAACUCUCACGGCUUGCCGUGAUGAGCUUGGACUUUGGGGGUCUUGCUGGCCUGUGGUCAGCUCCUCUCAAAUGAAUUAGCUUGCCGGUGUUUGGUGGGAUCACAGGUGUGAUAACUAUCUACGCUUGUGGUUUUCCACCAGGUAACCUUCAGCGAUGGAGGUUCACCGGAGCUUAUAAAUGUCCCUCCCCAGUGAGGACAGAUUUUGACC